AUGGUGGCAUUGGGUGGACAAUUCUCCAGUGUCCUACAGUCAGACUCAGAUGCUGAACAAUUAAAAGAGACAAACCACAAUUGGGUGAGGCUGGCGCUGCCUACCCUGGGACGCUGGAGCAGACCAGAUAAAGCGUAUACACGGCGGCGGCUGAGUCCGGGAUCGGGAAGCGGCCGCCGCCAAGUCUGCGUGCUGCCCUUUUCGCCCUGCCCCGUUUCGGAUUCCGGGGGCGCCUUUCCUUACCAGAGCUCGGGCCCAGUGAAUUUCACGGUAGACCAGAUCCAGGCCAUCAUGGGCAAGAAGGCCAACAUCCAUAACAUGUCUGUCAUUGCCCACGUGGAUCAUGGCAAGUCCAUGCUGACAGACUCCCUUGUGUGCAAGGCAGGUAUCAUUGCAUCGGCCUGGGCUGGGGAAACACGAUUCACUGACACCCAGAAGGAUGAGCAGGAGUGUUGCAUCACCAUCAAGUCAACUGCUAUCUCCCUUUUCUAUGAGCUUUCUGAAAAUGACUUGAACUUCAUUAAGCAGAGCAAGGAUGGCUCUGGUUUCCUCAUCAACCUCAUUGACUCUCCUGGGCAUGUAGACUUUUCCUCAGAGGUGACAGCUGCCCUCUGAGUCACCGAUGGUGCCUUGGUGGUGGUGGACUGUGUGUCAGGCGUGUGUGUGCAGACAGAGACGGUGCUGAGGCAAGCCAUUGCUGAGCACAUCAAGCCUGUACUGAUGAUGAACAAGAUGGACCGUGCUCUGCUUGAGCUGCAGCUGGAGCCUGAGGAGCUCUACCAGAACUUUCAGCGUGUAGUGGAGAACAUGAAUGUCAUCAUCUCCACCUACUGGGAGGACAAGAGCAGCCCCAUGGGCAACAUCAUGAUUGACCCUGUCCUUGGCACCGUGGGUUUUGGGUCUGGCCUCCAUGGUUGGGCCUUCACCCUGAAGCAGUUUGCAGAGAUGUAAGUGACCAAGUUGGCAGCCAAUGGUGAGGGCCAGCUUGGGCCAGCUGAGCAGGCCAAUAAAGUGGAGGACAUGAUAAAGAAGCUGUGGGGUGACCAGUACUUUGACCCAGCCAAUGGCAAAUUCAGCAAGUCAGCCACCAGCCCUGACGGAAAGAAGCUUCCACGGAAGUUCUGUCAGCUCAUCUUAGAUCCCAUCUUCAAGGUGAUUCAUGCAAUCAUGAAUUUCAAGAAAGAGGAGACAGCAAAACUGAUUGAAAAAUUGGACAUCAAGUUGGACAGUGAAGAUAAGGACAAAGAAGGCAAACCUCUGCUGAAGGCUGUGAUGCACCGCUGGCUGCCUGCUGGGGAUGCCCUGUUUCAGAUGAUCACCAUCCACCUGCCUUCCCCCGUGAUGAGCCAGAGGUACCCUGUGAACUUCUGUACGAGGGGCCCCAGAUGACGAGGCUGCCAUGGGCAUUAAAAACUGUGACCCCAAAGGCCCCCUCAUGAUGUACAUUUCCAAAAUGGUGCCAACCUCUGACAAAGCUUUUAUGCCUUCGGACAUGUCUUCUCGGGGCUGGUGUCUACCCGCCUGAAGGUCAGGAUCAUGGGGCCCAACUAUACCCCCAAGAAGAAGGAGAACCUCUACCUGAAGCCCAUCCAGAGAACAAUUCUGAUGAUAGGCUGCUACGUGGAACCCAUAGAAGACGUGCCUUGCGGGAACAUUGUGGGCCUGGUGGGUGUUGACCAGUUCCUGGUGAAGACAGGCACCAUCACCACCUUUGAGCAUUCCCACAACAUGAGGGUGAUGAAGUUCAGUGUCAGCCCUGUUGUCAGGGUUGCCAUGGAAGCCAAGAACCAAGCUGACAUGCCUAAGCUGGUGGAGGGGCUAAAGCACCUGGCCAAGGUGCAGUGCAUCAUUGAGGAUUCUGGGGAGCAUAUUAUUGCAGGCGCCUGGGUGCUGCACCUAGAAAUCCGCCUGAAGGAUCUGGAGGAGGACCACGCCUGCAUCCCCAUCAUGAAAUCUGACCCAGUUGUCUCAUAUCAUGAGACAGUUAGUAAGGUGUCCAGGGUGCUCUGCCUCUCUAAGUCGCCCAACAAGCACGACCAGCUCUACAUGAAAGCUCACCCCUUCCCUGAUGGUCUGGCUGAGGACAUCCACAAGGGUGAGGUGUCUGCCUGCCAGGAGCUGAAGCAGCGGGCACAGUACCUGGCUGAGAAGUAUGAGUGGGAUGUGGCUGAGGCCCGCAAGAUCUGGUGCUUUGGGCCUGAUGGCACUGGCCCAAACAUUCUCACUGACAUCACCAAGGGCGUGCAGUACCUCAAUGAAAUCAAGGACAGCGUGGUGGCUGGCUUCCAGUGGGCCACCAAGGAGGGAGCAUUGUGUGAAGAGAACAUACAGGGUGUGCGCUUUGAUGUUCAUGAUGUGACAUUGCUUACGGAUGCCAUCCACCUUGGGGGUGAACAGAUCACCCCCACAGCCCGGCGCUGCCUGUAUGCCAGUGUGCUGACCUUGUGCAAAUACAAUGUCCAGAACUAGUGGUUGGUGGCAUAUACGGUGUACUGAACAGGAAGCGGGGCCAUGUCUUCGAGGAGUCCCAGGUGGCUGGCACACCGAUGUUUAUUGUUAAAGCCUCUUUGCCCUUCAAUGAGUCCUUUGGCUUCACUGCCGACUUGAGGUCCAACACAGGUGGCCAGACCUUCCCCCAGUGCAUGUUUGACCACUGGCAGAUCCUGCCCGGAGACCCCUUUGACCAGACCAGUCACCCCAGCCAGGUUGUUGCAGAGACCCGUUAGCGCAAAGGCCUGAAGGAAGGCAUCCCAGCCCUGGACAACUUUCUGGACAAAUUGUAGGCUGCCCCUGCUGCAGCGCCCCCCACUUUGGUGGGAUGGGCUCAGCACCCACACUCAGUUUGACCAUAGCAACACGUCCUCAUUCUCAGACAACACCUCGAGACUGACCUGACACAACACAGUGAUGCUCCACCUGAGAGGUUCUGGGGCCAUCGCUCAAUGUUAACACUUGAUGCCGUUUCUUUUGAUAUUUAUUUCCAGAUUGCGGGGGCAGCAGAAAUGCCCUCUUUAUAGGGACUGAUUUGGCCGGUGGGGCAGAGGGAGGAGGGAUGGGACACUCAACGUUUUUUUUCCAUUUCUUUAGAGGGAAACUCAGAUGUCCAAAAAUUUUUAAAAGAAUGCAUUAAAAGGUAUAUUUGGGCAAAUGGCCCAUAGUGGUUUUUUCCCCCAGAAAGGAGGAAGGAACAGCAGGUAGGUAAUUUCUAGAAGGCAGGGAGUCCUGUGUGGUGUGACCAUGAGCAACUCCAGCUGUGUCAGUGCCAUUGGAAUAAUAAAUUUGAUACGGUGGUGACUUCAAAAAAAAAAAAAA